rnacentral:rRNA from 1 species
AGAACGAACGCUGGCGGCAGGCCUAACACAUGCAAGUCGAACGCCCCGCAAGGGGAGUGGCAGACGGGUGAGUAACGCGUGGGAACGUGCCCUUCGGUUCGGAAUAACUCAGGGAAACUUGAGCUAAUACCGGAUACGUCCGUAAGGAGAAAGAUUUAUUGCCGAAGGAUCGGCCCGCGUCGGAUUAGCUAGUUGGUGGGGUAAUGGCCCACCAAGGCGACGAUCCGUAGCUGGUCUGAGAGGAUGAUCAGCCACACUGGGACUGAGACACGGCCCAGACUCCUACGGGAGGCAGCAGUGGGGAAUAUUGGACAAUGGGCGAAAGCCUGAUCCAGCCAUGCCGCGUGAGUGAUGAAGGCCCUAGGGUUGUAAAGCUCUUUUGUGCGGGAAGAUAAUGACGGUACCGCAAGAAUAACGCCCGGCUAACUUCGUGCCAGCAGCCGC